UACGUAGGGGGCUAGCGUUGUCCGGAAUCAUUGGGCGUAAAGCGCGCGUAGGCGGUCAGGUAAGUCCGGUGUGAAAGUCAAAGGCUCAACCUUUGAAUGCCGCUGGAAACUGUCUGACUUGAGUCCGGUAGGGGCGAGUGGAAUUCCUGGUGGAGCGGUGAAAUGCGUAGAGAUUGGAAGGAACACCGAUGGCGAAGGCACUUUACUGGGCUAUUACUAACACUCAGAGACGAAAGCUAGGGUAGCAAAUGGG
rnacentral:rRNA from 1 species